CUGAAUUGCUCCCUGGCUUUUAUAGCCUCUCCCAUAGUACCUUCCGCCUCUUCCAAAAGUUCUUAUCACUGGAGUGGAAAUAACUCCUCUAGGACGCCCUCUCGCUGGUCCUCCCACAGAAACGACCUGCAGAGGAAAUGGCCCUCUACCCCCUCGUCCACGUCUGCUUCCAGCCCAAUGGCCGACUACAGUGCCGGCAAUUUCAAGUUUCCCUCCCUGAGAAGGAAUAGGUUG
rnacentral:lncRNA from 1 species